rnacentral:pre_miRNA from 1 species
UUUCUACUCCCUCCGUCCGAAAAUACUUGUCAUCAAAAUGGAUAAAAAGAUAUGUAUCUAAAACUAAAAUACGUCUAGAUACAUUUCCUUUUAUCCAUUUCGAUGACAAGUAUUUCCGGACAGAGGGAGUAUUUG